rnacentral:rRNA from 1 species
UACGGGGGGAGCAAGCGUUGUUCGGAUUUACUGGGCGUAAAGGGCGCGUAGGCGGCCACGACAGGUCACUUGUGAAAUCUCCGGGCUUAACUCGGAACGGUCAAGUGAUACUGUCGGGCUAGAGUGCAGAAGGGGCAACUGGAAUUCUCGGUGUAGCGGUGAAAUGCGUAGAUAUCAUUUGGAACGCCAAUGGUGAAAACAGGUAGCUGGGAGUGUGCUGACACUGAGACACGAAAGCCAGGGGAGCGAACGGG